ACGCCAGGCUCAGGGAUCAUUUCUAGAGCUCAUCACCAGAGAAGCUUCUGACUGUGCAGAGCACCGGAAACCACGAGCGCGGCGGCGCGUUCUCUCCCGAGCGUGAAGCCCGCUCUUGGUGUUGCUUUGCUGCAACUGCCACUUGCCAUUGGUGGUCGUUCCUGCCCUCGUUCCGGGCAGCUGGAGGGAGAGGACGCAGGCUGAGU